GACGAACGCUGGCGGCGUGCCUAAUACAUGCAAGUAGAACGCAGUUGCGAACGGGUGAGUAACGCGUAGGUAACUGCCUGGUAGCGGGGGAUAACUAUUGGAAACGAUAGCUAAUACCGCAUACUACCAGAUGGAACUGCGUUGUAUUAGCUAGUUGGUGAGGUAACGGCUCACCAAGGCAACGAUACAUAGCCGACCUGAGAGGGGCAGCGGCCACAUGUGGACUGAGACAAGGCCCCGACUCCUAUGGGAUGCAGCAGUAGGGAAUCUUCGGCCAUGGGGGGAACCCUGACCUAGGAACGCCGCGUUAGUGAAUAAGGUUUUCGGAUCGUAAAGCUCUGUUGUUAAGGAAGCGGUACUUACCCAGAAAGGGACGGCUAACUACGUGCCAGCAGCCGCGGUAAUAC
rnacentral:rRNA from 1 species